GAUUAACGCUGGCGGCGUGCAUAACACAUGCAAGUCGAACGAUCAAACUUUAAUGAACCCUUCGGGGAGAUUUAAAGCGGCGUAUUGGCGAACGGUGGAGUAACUCGUUAGUAACCUGCCUUACACAAGGGGAUAGCCUUUUGAUACGAAGAAUAAUACCCUAUAACACCAUAAAAGCACAUGCAACUAUUUUCAAAGUGAUAGCGGUGUAAGAUGGACUUGCGUCUGAUUAGCUUGUUGGUGAGGUAAACGCCCACCAAGGGAAAGAUCAGAAGCCGGCGCGAGAGCGUGUACGGCACCCUUGCGACUGAGACAAGGCCCAAACUCCUCCGGGAGGCCGCAGUGGGGAAGUUUCAACACUGGGUGAAAGACUGAUGCAGCGACACCGCGAGAUUCAGAAGGCCUGCAGGUUGUAAAGAUCUUUUGUCUAGGCAGAAAAUGACAGUACUAUACGAAUAAGCCCCGGCUAAUUACGUG
rnacentral:rRNA from 1 species